rnacentral:rRNA from 1 species
UGGGUUGUUGCUGGCCCCCGAACGGGGCAUGUGCACGCUCUGUUUACACAUCCACUCACACCUGUGCACCCUCUGUAGUUCUGUGGACCGGGAGACGUCGUCUUCCUUCCGUAGCUCUACGUCUUUACACACACACCGUAGCGAUGUCUCAUGGAAUGUUUUUUCGCGUUUAACGCAAUACAAUACAACUUUCAGCAACGGAUCUCUUGGCUCUCGCAUCGAUGAAGAACGCAGCGAAAUGCGAUAAGUAAUGUGAAUUGCAGAAUUCAGUGAAUCAUCGAAUCUUUGAACGCACCUUGCGCCCCUUGGUUAUUCCUCGGAGCAUGCCUGUUUGAGUAUCAUGAACACCUCAACUCUCAUGGUCUUCCAUGAUGAGCUUGGACUUUGGGGGUUUGCUGGCCUCGUGGCCGGCUCCUCUCAAAUGAAUCAGCUUGCCAGUGUUUGGCGGCGUCACGGGUGUGAUAACUAUCUACGCUCGUGGUCGUCCACCAGGUAACCCUCAGCAAUGAAGGUUCAUUGGGGCUCAUAAACGUCUCUCCCCAGCGAGGACAACUUUUGAACGUUCGAUCUCAAAUCAGGUAGGACUACCCGCUGAACUUAAGCAUAUCAAUAAGCGGAGGAAAAGAAACUAACAAGGAUUCCCCUAGUAACUGCGAGUGAAGCGGGAAGAGCUCAAAUUUAAAAUCUGGCGUGCCUUUGGUCGUCCGAAUUGUAGUCUGGAGAAGCGUUUUCCGUGCUGG